rnacentral:rRNA from 1 species
AUAUUAAUCCGCUGGCCUCUCUUAGAGCGGCUGGCUGUGAUAUAAAUGCGUGUUAUGUUGACAGUGUGUGUAUAAGUUAAUAUUGACAACUUUUAACAAUGGAUCUCUAGGCUCUUGCAACGAUGAAGAACGCAGCAAAAUGCGAAACGUGAUGCGAUUUGCACGAAUCUGUGAGUCAUCUAAUCUUUGAACGCGAAUGGCACUGCUAUGUAAGUAGCAGUAUGUCUGUUUGAGAAUCGCAAAACACGAUCAACUCUAGUUAAGAGUUGGGAUUGACCUCAUAUGCUAUCUAGCAUAUCUGGUUUGAAUGUAUUAAGUUGAUGAGCUUCCCAAUAUUGCUCAAUGUGUGCUAGCGAGACAGUCGUCCCGAUCUCACAUUACAGCUUUGUUGCAAGGUUCUAUGCACAGCUUUUUAUUUUAUUUUAUAUCAAGUACGAUCUCAAAUCAGGCAAGAUUACCCGCUGAACUUAAGCAUAUCAAUAAGCGGAGG